rnacentral:misc_RNA from 1 species
UCAAACUUGGUCAUUUAGAGGAAGUAAAAGUCGUAACAAGGUUUCCGUAGGUGAACCUGCGGAAGGAUCAUUACCGAGUGCGGGUUCCAACGAGCCCAACCUCCCACCCGUGUCUACCGUUACCGCGUUGCCUCGGCGGGCCCACUGGGCCUGGCCCCGGUCGCCGGGGGGCUUCUGCCCCCGGGCCCGCGCCCGCCGAAGCACCCUAGAACCCUGUCUGAACAGUGAGUCUGAGUAGGAUAUUGAAUCAUUAAAACUUUCAACAACGGAUCUCUUGGUUCCGGCAUCGAUGAAGAACGCAGC